CUCCAAGCUAAUGCCGGCAAAAUCUCACAGGGCAGGGUGGAAGUAAUGGGUUCGGAACCCCAUUUUCACAUUAGCAAGCAUCACCAAAGCACCAGGUGGAGCUGUGUAGGAGGAGCUGAAGAAGGGGGUUUAAGAGCGGCCCAAGUGUGGGAAUUGUGAAAGAUGAUGGCGGAAGCAGUCCCAGAUGCCCCGGAACAAGAGCAUUCCGGAGCCGUGAAGCUAGAGGAGGAUGAGGUUGGCGAGGAGGAUCCCAGGCCGGCAGAGUCCAGGCCUAGGCCUGAGGUGGCCCACCAGCUUUUCAGAUGUUUCCAGUAUCAGGAAGAUAUGGGGCCACGGGCAUCUCUGGGUCGGCUCCGGGAACUCUGCAACCACUGGCUGAGAC
rnacentral:lncRNA from 1 species